rnacentral:rRNA from 1 species
UACGAAGGGGGCUAGCGUUGCUCGGAAUCACUGGGCGUAAAGGGUGCGUAGGCGGGUCUUUAAGUCAGGGGUGAAAUCCUGGAGCUCAACUCCAGAACUGCCUUUGAUACUGAGGAUCUUGAGUUCGGGAGAGGUGAGUGGAACUGCGAGUGUAGAGGUGAAAUUCGUAGAUAUUAGGAAGAACACCGGUGGCGAAGGCGGCCAUCUGGCUCGGUACUGACGCUGAGACGCGAAAGCGUGGGGAGCGAACAGG